rnacentral:lncRNA from 1 species
AUAUAAAUAAGUGAUUACAAUAUAAUAAACUUAAAACAUGAAAGGAGGCUCUAGUACUCCAUUGGACCACCUCUAAACUGGAUAUAAGAUGUGAUACAGGUGGGUAUGGAGACAGUCCAUAUGGUAUGUCCAGUUACAGCAACUGUGGACAGAUAUGCCAUAUAUGUCCACAGUAGUUGUAACUGGAUCUCUAGGGUGUACAAACUUGUAGGCUGUCGAAGUUGGUGUCCUAGUUCCACACGUACUGUUCUAUUGGUGAUAAAUCUGGCAACUAGGCAAGCCACGGAAGUGUGGCAACCUGGUGGAGGCAUGCACCUUUGCUGCAUAUU